rnacentral:tRNA from 1 species
GGUCUCAUGGCUUAGAUGGCAAAGCGCCUGCCUAGUAGCAAGCAAGCAAGCAGGAGAUCACGAGUUCGAGUCUCGUUGGGACCU